CCCUCCUGAGGCGCUGACAGCCCCUGUGCUGCGUGUGUACAGCUCCUGAACCCUGCCCAUCAAGAUGUCCUGCCAGCAGAACCAGCAGCAGUGCCAGCCCCCUCCCAAGUGCCCCCCCAAGUGCCCCAUCCCUAAGUGCCCCCCCAAGUGCCCCCCCAAGUGCCCUCCAGUCUCUUCCUGCUGCAGUGUGAGCUCUGGCGGCUGCUGUGGCUCCAGUUCUGGGGGAGGGGGCUGCUGCAGCUCUGGGCAUGGGGGCUGCUGCCUGAGCCACCACAGGCGCCGCAGGUCCCACCGCAGACACCAGAGCUCUGACUGCUGCAGCCAGCCCUCGGGGGGCUCGGGGUGCUGUGGAGGGGGAAGCGGCCAGUCCUCUGGAGGCGACUGCUGCUGCUGAAGCGGACCCUGAGCUUUUCUUCCCCCUGAUCUCCGUGAAUGGCUGAGACCUCCUGGCAAAAACUUGAGCUCUGGCCUCGUGGAUUCCACUACCCUGGUGUCCAAAAGCCCAACACCUCUCUCUAAAACCUAGUUCCUGACUUCCCUCCCCAUCUGUGGGUGCCUCGGGAAUCCCAGGGCACAGACCCCACAUCCCUCUGCACCUUCUUGCAUUCUGUAACCCUGUAUUGAAAUAAUAAAUGCAGUCUGCUCCCUGA